AUUGAACGCUGGCGGCAGGCCUAACACAUGCAAGUCGAGCGAGCGGCGGACGGGAGAGUAAUGCCAGGGAAUGGCCACGUAGAGGGGGGUAACAGUUGGAAACGACUGCUAAUACCGCAUACGAUUGGAAUGCACAGGUGUGGUUAGCGAGUUGGUGAGGUAAUGGCUAACAAAGGUGACGAUCCCUAGAUGGUCUGAGAGGGUGAUCGGCCACACUGGAACGGAGACACGGCCCAGACUCCUACGGGAGGCAGCAGUGGGGAAUAUUGGGCAAUGGUGGAAACCCUGAUGGAGCAAUGCCGCGUGUGUGAAGAAGGCCUUCGGGUUGUAAAGCACUUUCAGCAGGGAGGCGUUACUCGCAGAGGAAGCAACGGCUAACUCCGUGCCAGCAGCCGCGGUAAUUC
rnacentral:rRNA from 1 species